CCAGAGUUGAUCAUGGCUCAGGACGAACGCUGGCGGCGUGCCUAAUACAUGCAAGUCGAACGCUUCUUUUUCCACCGGAGCUUGCUCCACCGGAAAAAGAGGAGUGGCGAACGGGUGAGUAACACGUGGGUAACCUGCCCAUCAGAAGGGGAUAACACUUGGAAACAGGUGCUAAUACCGUAUAACAAUCGAAACCGCAUGGUUUUGAUUUGAAAGGCGCUUUCGGGUGUCGCUGAUGGAUGGACCCGCGGUGCAUUAGCUAGUUGGUGAGGUAACGGCUCACCAAGGCGACGAUGCAUAGCCGACCUGAGAGGGUGAUCGGCCACAUUGGGACUGAGACACGGCCCAAACUCCUACGGGAGGCAGCAGUAGGGAAUCUUCGGCAAUGGACGAAAGUCUGACCGAGCAACGCCGCGUGAGUGAAGAAGGUUUUCGGAUCGUAAAACUCUGUUGUUAGAGAAGAACAAGGAUGAGAGUAACUGUUCAUCCCUUGACGGUAUCUAACCAGAAAGCCACGGCUAACUACGUGCCAGCAGCCGCGGUAAUACGUAGGUGGCAAGCGUUGUCCGGAUUUAUUGGGCGUAAAGCGAGCGCAGGCGGUUUCUUAAGUCUGAUGUGAAAGCCCCCGGCUCAACCGGGGAGGGUCAUUGGAAACUGGGAGACUUGAGUGCACAAGAGGAGAGUGGAAUUCCAUGUGUAGCGGUGAAAUGCGUAGAUAUAUGGAGGAACACCAGUGGCGAACGCGGCUCUCUGGUCUGUAACUGACGCUGAKGCUCGAAAGCGUGGGGAGCARACAKGAUUAGAUACCCUGGUAGUSCACRCCGUAWACGAUGAGUGCUAAGUGUUGGASGGUUUCCGCCCUUCAGUGCUGCAGCUAACGCAUUAAGCACUCCGCCUGGGGAGUACGACCGCAAGGUUGAAACUCAAAGGAAUUGACGGGGGCCCGCACAAGCGGUGGAGCAUGUGGUUUAAUUCGAAGCAACGCGAAGAACCUUACCAGGUCUUGACAUCCUUUGACCACUCUAGAGAUAGAGCUUCCCCUUCGGGGGCAAAGUGACAGGUGGUGCAUGGUUGUCGUCAGCUCGUGUCGUGAGAUGUUGGGUUAAGUCCCGCAACGAGCGCAACCCUUAUUGUUAGUUGCCAUCAUUUAGUUGGGCACUCUAGCAAGACUGCCGGUGACAAACCGGAGGAAGGUGGGGAUGACGUCAAAUCAUCAUGCCCCUUAUGACCUGGGCUACACACGUGCUACAAUGGGAAGUACAACGAGUCGCAAAGUCGCGAGGCUAAGCUAAUCUCUUAAAGCUUCUCUCAGUUCGGAUUGUAGGCUGCAACUCGCCUACAUGAAGCCGGAAUCGCUAGUAAUCGCGGAUCAGCACGCCGCGGUGAAUACGUUCCCGGGCCUUGUACACACCGCCCGUCACACCACGAGAGUUUGUAACACCCGAAGUCGGUGAGGUAACCUUUUGGAGCCAGCCGCCUAAGGUGGGAUAGAUGAUUGGGGUGAAGUCGUAACAAGGUAGCCGUA
rnacentral:rRNA from 1 species